UAAUUACUCCCUCUGUCUUAAAAUUCUUAUCUUAGAUUUAUUUAGAUGUAAUGUAUCUAGUCAAGUUUUAAUAUUUAGAUACAUCCAUCUUUAGACAAAGCUAAGGCAAAAAAAUUAAGAUGGAGGGAGUACUAU
rnacentral:pre_miRNA from 2 species